AUCGUUCAACCCUUUUUGGGUCGGAAGUAAGCUUAAGCUGAAGGAACGCGAA
ncrna:unclassified sequences Glutamine riboswitch